rnacentral:rRNA from 1 species
CCUACGGGUGACAGCAGUGAGGAAUAUUGGUCAAUGGACGAGAGUCUGAACCAGCCAAGUAGCGUGAAGGAUGACUGCCCUAUGGGUUGUAAACUUCUUUUAUAUGGGAAUAAAAUGUUCCACGUGUGGGAUUUUGUAUGUACCAUAUGAAUAAGGAUCGGCUAACUCCGUGCCAGCAGCCGCGGUAAUACGGAGGAUCCGAGCGUUAUCCGGAUUUAUUGGGUUUAAAGGGAGCGUAGGUGGAUUGUUAAGUCAGUUGUGAAAGUUUGCGGCUCAACCGGAAAAUUGCAGUUGAAACUGGCAGUCGUGAGUACAGUAGAGGUGGGCGGAAUGCGUGGUGUAGCGGUGAAAUGCUUAGAUAUCACGAAGAACUCCGAUUGCGAAGGCAGCUCACUGGACUGCAACUGACACUGAGGCUCGAAAGUGUGGGUAUCAAACAGGAUUAGAUACCCGAGUAGUC